AUUGAACGCUGGCGGAAUGCUUUACACAUGCAAGUCGAACGGUAGAGGGGGCAACCCCUUSAGAGUGGCGAACGGGUGAGUAAUGUAUCGGAACGUGCCCAGUCGUGGGGGAUAACGUAGUGAAAAUUACGCUAAUACCGCAUACGAUCUAUGGAUGAAAGCGGGGGAUCGCAAGACCUCGCGCGAUUGGAGCGGCCGAUAUCAGAUUAGGUAGUUGGUGGGGUAAAGGCUCACCAAGCCAACGAUCUGUAGCUGGUCUGAGAGGACGACCAGUCACACUGGAACUGAGACACGGUCCAGACUCCUACGGGAGGCAGCAGUGGGGAAUUUUGGACAAUGGACGAAAGUYUGAUCCAGCCAUUCCGCGUGCAGGACGAAGGCCUUCGGGUUGUAAACUGCUUUUGUACGGAACGAAAAGGCUUCUGUG
rnacentral:rRNA from 1 species